rnacentral:rRNA from 1 species
UACUCCUACGGGAGGCAGCAGUGGGGAAUCUUGCGCAAUGGGCGAAAGCCUGACGCAGCCAUGCCGCGUGAAUGAUGAAGGUCUUAGGAUUGUAAAAUUCUUUCACCGGGGACGAUAAUGACGGUACCCGGAGAAGAAGCCCCGGCUAACUUCGUGCCAGCAGCCGCGGUAAUACGAAGGGGGCUAGCGUUGCUCGGAAUUACUGGGCGUAAAGGGAGCGUAGGCGGACAUUUAAGUCAGGGGUGAAAUCCCGGGGCUCAACCUCGGAAUUGCCUUUGAUACUGGGUGUCUUGAGUAUGAGAGAGGUGUGUGGAACUCCGAGUGUAGAGGUGAAAUUCGUAGAUAUUCGGAAGAACACCAGUGGCGAAGGCGACACACUGGCUCAUUACUGACGCUGAGGCUCGAAAGCGUGGGGAGCAAACAGGAUUAGAUACCCUGGUAGUCCACGCCGUAAACGAUGAUUGCUAGUUGUCGGGAUGCAUGCAUUUCGGUGACGCAGCUAACGCAUUAAGCAAUCCGCCUGGGGAGUACGGUCGCAAGAUUAAAACUCAAGGGAAUUGACGGGGGCCCCCACAAGCGGUGGAGCAUGUGGA